UCCACGCCGUAAACGAUGUCAACUAGCCGUUGGGACCUUGAGGUUUCAGUGGUGCAGCUAACGCGUGAAGUUGACCGCCUGGGGAGUACGGCCGCAAGGCUAAAACUCAAAUGAAUUGACGGGGGCCCCACAAGCGGUGGAGCAUGUGGUUUAAUUCGAUGCAACGCGAAGAACCUUACCUACCCUUGACAUUGACAGAAUCCAGUAGAGAUACAGGAGUGCC
rnacentral:rRNA from 1 species